GAUGAACGCUGGCGGCGUGCUUAACACAUGCAAGUCGAACGAGAAAUGGAGACGGAAACCUUCGGGCGGAAGGCUUCAUUUCGAGUGGCGGACGGGUGAGUAACGCGUGGGUAACCUGCCUCAUACAGGGGGAUAACAGUUGGAAACGACUGUUAAUACCGCAUAAGACCACAGCACCGCAUGGUGCGGGGGUAAAAACUCCGGUGGUAUGAGAUGGACCCGCGUUCGAUUAGCCAGUUGGCGGGGUAACGGCCCACCAAAGCGACGAUCGAUAGCCGAUCUGAGAGGAUGACCGGCAACAUUGGGACUGAGACACGGCCAAAACUCCUACGGGAGGCAGCAGUGGGGAAUAUUGCACAAUGGGGGAAACCCUGAUGCAGCGACGCCGCGUGAGUGAAGAAGUACUUCGGUAUGUAAAGCUCUAUCAGCAGGGAAGAAAAUGACGGUACAUGAGUAAGAAGCCCCGGCUAACUACGUG
rnacentral:rRNA from 1 species